CUCCUUGAACACUCUUCCUCUUUCUUGUGUCCUACCACCGUUGCUUAUCCUUGACUCUCCAUCAAUCGAGCAGCCGUUGAAGCCUCCGAUCGUUGAAGUCGAGCGCUAGCUAAGUUGCACGUCGUGUACGUCGCGUCUCCAUUAGCCCGAGUCGCUCCUGUCCGGUCGAAGUCAAAGCUGAAACAUUAUGCUUUUCGGGUUUAAGUCGAGUGUGCAUUUAUGCUCCUUCUCUAUUUCGUGAAAUGUCGCUGCUGCAUCCUUCGAGUCACCUCUGAUGUGUCGUGAUCCAUCAUCUCUUUGACUUGAACUGAAACACCGACGUCUGUUCCCUGUUUUGUGCUGCCACGUUCAUUGCAGCUUCAUCUUUGUCUAUGCUAAGUUCAAUCGUGAUUCCAGUAGUCUUCGAGCCACGCUCAGAUCUGAGUUGUUGCCUCUGUCUUGUUGUAAACUGUCGUCGUUGUGGUACUGUUUGAGGAUAGCGAUCAGAUCCUUGAAUUUUCAAUAAGUUUGAUUUGUGUUUGAUCCUCCAAUUACUUGGGCAAAGAUAAUACGAGAGGUAGACCAACGAGGGACAAGAAGGACUCGUGAUCGCCAUAUGAGAACUCAAUUUUCACAAUUUGCUUCCGCUUAUUAUUAUUAUUAUUAUUUUUUGCUAAGUUCUGAUGGUUGAAAGUUUUACGUUUAGAACAACUACUUAGUUGUUAGUGAUUUUAUUUUUAUUUUGUUUGAAUAGGGCUCAAGUUGAAUUCUAUUUGACUAUUGUUCUUUAAACAAUUUGCAAAUCUUUUAUGUUAUUGAUGAUUUAUUUUGGGUGAUUUAUUAGAGAGUCUUUAGGUCGAAGUAAUGAUCUCUAACUUAGUUUGAAAAGUUGGGUCGUUACACUUAGUCUCCUUUCGGGAUCCUAAUGACUAAGCCUAAAUAAUCAGUUUCGGGUUAUAUAUAUCUAGAAGUGUUUACUUAUAAAACUCAAAGAGCUUCUCGUUUAAGGGCAACAUUCUCUCCAUGCCUAACGCCCACACUUGUUCUCCUUUCAGGAUACAAAUGAUGGAUGUUAUCUCAGACAAGGACUGAUGGUGUUAUUCCUUAGUGUCAAAGGUUUAAGGUUGUUCCGUUUGGCAUAGAACUGUGUUUCUCAAUGGGCUAGGAGCAGACCAUCGAAUAAAGCCUUUAGGCUUGCAGUCUAUGAGUCCUCCAACCGGAAUUGAUGGACUUGCACCCAUGUUAUCAUUGAAGGGAACGUCGAAAACGCUUUCUUCUGUUGUAUGUUUUUGAGAUAUCCGAAGCAUGCUUCUUGAAGUUGCCAUUGUAGUGGUGGAAAAAUAGGAGAGGGCCAACAAGGAGAUGAGGAAGAAAACUAGAGUGCAUCGGACUGAAGCCAUUUUAAGAUAAUGCAACAAAUAGAUGAGAGAUUAACGGCGAGACUUUUUUUUUUUUUUUCUCUCUCUCUAUUGGAAUGAAGGUGAUUUUACUUUCAUGGGGGAGAGUGCUUUAAAUAUAGUUGAGAAGAGAGAGAGAUGCAUGUGAAGGAAGAUAAGUUUAGAAAAUAUUGGAGGUAAGUUGUUCUAAAAAUAAGCUAGUGCAUUCCAUAACUGGAAAAUCUAUGUUUGUCAUCAAAUAAUAAUGGUUCUAAUGAUUUGACUAAAAUUUAUAACCA